AGUUUGAUCAUGGCUCAGAUUGAACGCUGGCGGCAGGCCUAACACAUGCAAGUCGAGCGGUAACAGGGGAAGCUUGCUUCCCGCUGACGAGCGGCGGACGGGUGAGUAAUGUAUGGGGAUCUGCCCGAUAGAGGGGGAUAACCACUGGAAACGGUGGCUAAUACCGCAUAAUCUCUUAGGAGCAAAGCAGGGGAACUUCGGUCCUUGCGCUAUCGGAUGAACCCAUAUGGGAUUAGCUAGUAGGUGGGGUAAUGGCUCACCUAGGCGACGAUCCCUAGCUGGUCUGAGAGGAUGAUCAGCCACACUGGGACUGAGACACGGCCCAGACACCUACGGGAGGCAGCAGUGGGGAAUAUUGCACAAUGGGCGCAAGCCUGAUGCAGCCAUGCCGCGUGUAUGAAGAAGGCCUUAGGGUUGUAAAGUACUUUCAGUCGGGAGGAAGGCGUUGAUGCUAAUAUCAUCAACGAUUGACGUUACCGACAGAAGAAGCACCGGCUAACUCCGUGCCAGCAGCCGCGGUAAUACGGAGGGUGCAAGCGUUAAUCGGAAUUACUGGGCGUAAAGCGCACGCAGGCGGUUGAUUAAGUU
rnacentral:rRNA from 1 species